UAUAUAGAAACACAAGAAAAAGAAAAAGGAAAAGGAAAAGAGAUAAAGAGAAAAAGAUAAAGAUGUAUAUAAAGAGGAAAGAAAAAACAAAACAAAGAAACUUCAAAAUUUUUCCCUCAUCUUUCCAUCCAUCCCAACAGUCAUCAUUCUCCAUGCUCAUUGCUUUUGUUUUGUGAAGAUAAAGGAAGAACUUGAGAGGAUUUUGGAAGACAAAAUAAGAAAAGGAAACAAAGAAGCACUUUGAAAGUUUGGUACAGGUGAUCGAGGUAGUUACGAGGCAGAGUCAGGUCAACGUAGAUAGAUCCAACUAGAGCAGAUUAUCUCUGAUUUAUAUUACAUGUAUAUAGUCACAUGUUCUUAUUGAUUUUUGACUUUUUUGAAAUGAUGGUACAGUUGUAUAUAAUUACUCCAUGUUUUCAGAGGUUUUUAGAUGAGUUUUCAUAUAAAUAUAUACAUCUUUUGUUCGCUUCCAGAUUUUCAGUUUUCUCAGAAUAAUUUCUAGACACUUUCAGUAAUGAAUUGAGUUCAAAGUAGUUUUUAAAGUA